CCGUCUAUAGCUCAGUUGGUAGAGCGGUGGACUGUAGAUCCAUAGGUCGCUGGUUCGAAUCCGGCUCGACGGA
rnacentral:tRNA from 1 species